UUAUCCUAAGUUGUGUAAACUUGGAUGUUGUUAUUAAAAAACAAGAUAAAGAAGGCGUUAUGUCAAUAUUGAAUGCGACAGAGGGAGACAAAACAUGGAGACAGCCGUCUGACGUAGAGAAAAUAUUAUGUUAUCGGUUUUACGCAUACUCGGCCAACUAUUAGCUUUGAAAUAUGUUCUUUCAAGUGUACUGAUUAUUAUUAUCAUCCUUAUGAUUAAAUAUGUAUCCAAUAUUUUUGUGGAAUUAUCUUUUAAAGAUUUAAAAUUAGGUCACUAAAAAAAAAGUAUUGACAUACCGCGGCAAUGAAAUGAAACGUCGUUGUUGCGUCAGACAAUUUGAAGAGGCGGAGUUAUCCCAGUACUGGCGCCUUACAUCCAUUCCUCUCUAAGACCCCCAGACAAUUGCACGUAUCACGAGUUAAAGCCGUUAUAUUUUUUUGACUUGAAAUUGUUAACUUCGAAAAAUAAGUGUCGUUUUUAAAAAUAGUUUAGACUAAGUAAGAAUUUGUUUUUGAAAGACCAAACGCUUACUGUUCUCGCUUUUGGUCUUGAAAGAAGACCGUCGCCCGAAUAUAUUUAUUUGUUGUUUAAAUAAAAACACAAAAUAGCUGUAAGGGCAAUCGGAGAUAUUAAAUUUAACAUGAUCAACGAGUACUGCCUCUCAUCAAACAAUCUGUUAAACACGUUGCAUCACGGUACAGUUAGUAGCUCAAACAAGAAGCAGGUCGCUUUGUGGCGUAAUUGUUAUUGUUGUCAGAAGAAAGACAAGGUGAAGAAGUUUAAUACAGUGUUUACAAGAAGACAUAUGUCCAACACAAUGCCUACAGUCGGAACCAUUAGUUGGUUGGGAGCCUAAAGAGCUAAAAUUUCAUUAGGAGCUCAAGAAGAGUUCAAACAAGUAAGUAAUUGCGUUCACCCUAUUUCCGAUAACCAGUUUCUGUUCACAGGUUUAGGAACAUCGAAAACAG